ACACCCAUCAUCUAGUUGGUUAGGAUACCGGCCUUUCACGUCGUUAACACGGGUUCGAAUCCCGUUGGGUGUACCA
rnacentral:tRNA from 1 species